UGGCCAAACUACCCUUCGGAGCACGAUACCCUCGGGAAACUGAGGCUAAUAGUGCAUACCACACUCACUCUGGAAUGACGAGUGUGUCAAACGCUCCGGCGCCGAAGGACGUGGCUGCGGCCGAUUAGGUAGACGGUGGGGUAACGGCCCACCGUGCCGAUAUCGGUACGGGUGGUGAGAGCCAGAACCCGGAGACGGAAUCUGAGACAAGAUUCCGGGCCCUACGGGGCGCAGCAGGCGCGAAACCUUUACACUGCACGACAGUGCGAUAAGGGGAUCCCAAGUGCGUAGGCAUAGAGCCUACGCUUUUGUACACCGUAGGGAGGUGUACGAAUAAGGGCUGGGCAAGACCGGUGCCAGCCGCCGCGGUAAUACCGGCAGCCCAAGUGAUGGCCGAUUUUAUUGGGCCUAAAGCGUCCGUAGCUGGCCGCACAAGUCCAUCGGGAAAUCCACCCGCUCAACGGGUGGACGUCCGGUGGAAACUGUGUGGCUUGGGACCGGAAGGCGCGACGGGUACGUCCGGGGUAGGAGUGAAAUCCCGUAAUCCUGGACGGACCGCCGAUGGCGAAAGCACGUCGCGAGAACGGAUCCGACAGUGAGGGACGAAAGCUAGGGUCUCGAACCGGAUUAGAUACCCGGGUAGUCCUAGCCGUAAACGAUGCCUGUUAGGUGUGGCUCCCACUACGAGUGGGUGCUGUGCCGUAGGGAAGCCGCUAAACAGGCCGCCUGGGAAGUACGUCCGCAAGGAUGAAACUUAAAGGAAUUGGCGGGGGAGCACUACAACCGGAGGAGCCUGCGGUUUAAUUGGACUCAACGCCSGACAUCUCACCAGCAUCGACUGUAGUAAUGACGGUCAGGUUGAUGACCUUACCACGAGCUACAGAGAGGAGGUGCAUGGCCGCCGUCAGCUCGUACCGUGAGGCGUCCUGUUAAGUCAGGCAACGAGCGAGACCCGCAUCCUUACUUGCCAGCAACACUGCGAAGUGGUUGGGGACAGUAGGGAGACCGCCGUGGCCAACACGGAGGAAGGAACGGGCAACGGUAGGUCAGUAUGCCCCGAAUGUGCUGGGCAACACGCGGGCUACAAUGGUCGAGACAGAGGGUUCCUACUCCGAAAGGAGACGGUAAUCUCAGAAACUCGAUCGUAGUUCGGAUUGUGGGCUGAAACUCGCCCACAUGAAGCUGGAUUCGGUAGUAAUCGCGUGUCAGCAGCGCGCGGUGAAUACGUCCCUGCUCCUUGCACACACCGCCCGUCAAAGCA
rnacentral:rRNA from 1 species